UACGAAGGGGGCUAGCGUUGCUCGGAAUCACUGGGCGUAAAGCGCACGUAGGCGGAUUGUUAAGUCAGGGGUGAAUCCUGGAGCUCAACUCCAGAACUGCCUUGAUACUGGCGAUCUUGAGUCCGGGAGAGGUGAGUGGAACUGCGAGUGUAGAGGUGAAAUUCGUAGAUAUUCGCAAGAACACCAGUGGCGAAGGCGGCUCACUGGCCCGGUACUGACGCUGAGGUGCGAAAGCGUGGGGAGCAAACAGGG
rnacentral:rRNA from 1 species